UACGUAGGGGGCUAGCGUUGUCCGGAAUCAUUGGGCGUAAAGCGCGUGUAGGCGGUCCGGUAAGUCCGCUGUGAAAGUCGGGGGCUCAACCCUCGAAUGCCGGUGGAUACUGUCGGGCUAGAGUGCGGAAGAGGCGAGUGGAAUUCCUGGUGUAGCGGUGAAAUGCGCAGAUAUCAGGAAGAACACCGAUGGCGAAGGCACUUUACUGGGCUAUUACUAACACUCAGAGACGAAAGCUAGGGUAGCAAAUGGG
rnacentral:rRNA from 1 species